rnacentral:rRNA from 1 species
AACGCUGGCGGCGUGCCUAAUACAUGCAAGUCGAGCGAACAGACGAGGAGCUUGCUCCUUUGACGUUAGCGGCGGACGGGUGAGUAACACGUGGAUAACCUACCUAUAAGACUGGGAUAACUUCGGGAAACCGGAGCUAAUACCGGAUAACAUGUUGAACCGCAUGGUUCAACAGUGAAAGACGGUCUUGCUGUCACUUAUAGAUGGAUCCGCGCCGCAUUAGCUAGUUGGUAAGGUAACGGCUUACCAAGGCAACGAUGCGUAGCCGACCUGAGAGGGUGAUCGGCCACACUGGAACUGAGACACGGUCCAGACUCCUACGGGAGGCAGCAGUAGGGAAUCUUCCGCAAUGGGCGAAAGCCUGACGGAGCAACGCCGCGUGAGUGAAGAAGGUCUUCGGAUCGUAAAACUCUGUUAUUAGGGAAGAACAAAUGUGUAAGUAACUAUGCACGUCUUGACGGUACCUAAUCAGAAAGCCACGGCUAACUACGUGCCAGCAGCCGCGGUAAUACGUAGGUGGCAAGCGUUAUCCGGAAUUAUUGGGCGUAAAGCGCGCGUAGGCGGUUUUUUAAGUCUGAUGUGAAAGCCCACGGCUCAACCGUGGAGGGUCAUUGGAAACUGGAAAACUUGAGUGCAGAAGAGGAAAGUGGAAUUCCAUGUGUAGCGGUGAAAUGCGCAGAGAUAUGGAGGAACACCAGUGGCGAAGGCGACUUUCUGGUCUGUAACUGACGCUGAUGUGCGAAAGCGUGGGGAUCAAACAGGAUUAGAUACCCUGGUAGUCCACGCCGUAAACGAUGAGUGCUAAGUGUUAGGGGGUUUCCGCCCCUUAGUGCUGCAGCUAACGCAUUAAGCACUCCGCCUGGGGAGUACGACCGCAAGGUUGAAACUCAAAGGAAUUGACGGGGACCCGCACAAGCGGUGGAGCAUGUGGUUUAAUUCGAAGCAACGCGAAGAACCUUACCAAAUCUUGACAUCCUCUGACCCCUCUAGAGAUAGAGUUUUCCCCUUCGGGGGACAGAGUGACAGGUGGUGCAUGGUUGUCGUCAGCUCGUGUCGUGAGAUGUUGGGUUAAGUCCCGCAACGAGCGCAACCCUUAAGCUUAGUUGCCAUCAUUAAGUUGGGCACUCUAAGUUGACUGCCGGUGACAAACCGGAGGAAGGUGGGGAUGACGUCAAAUCAUCAUGCCCCUUAUGAUUUGGGCUACACACGUGCUACAAUGGACAAUACAAAGGGUAGCGAAACCGCGAGGUCAAGCAAAUCCCAUAAAGUUGUUCUCAGUUCGGAUUGUAGUCUGCAACUCGACUACAUGAAGCUGGAAUCGCUAGUAAUCGUGGAUCAGCAUGCUACGGUGAAUACGUUCCCGGGUCUUGUACACACCGCCCGUCACACCACGAGAGUUUGUAACACCCGAAGCCGGUGGAGUAACCUUUUGGAGCUAGCCGUCGAAGGUGGGACAAAUGAUUGGGGU